rnacentral:rRNA from 1 species
GAGAACCCGAAAGUCGAAUGGGGAUAUUCAGCGUUCGGUCGAGCCUCGUGCUUCGUGUUUCGAAUUUCGAAGCUACCGUGGCUUGGCCGUCGUGCACUUAUCCCCUAGUAGAACGUCGCGACCCGCUGGUGGACGGUCAAAUGGUACCUCGUCGCAGACCGCGUCUUCGUCGUUCACCGUUCACGCGGCGAACGCUCGAAUCGUGCGGAGACUUGGAUUCAAUGCCAGAUCGUCGGGCCGGCGGUAGUCGAACGAGACGGCAUUAAGCCGCUGUUGAAUUGCGUUUCCUCGAGCGAAACUAGUCGGAUAUCAUGUCGAAUUUGGGUAGGCCUAGUCCUCCCUGUCGAUAUCCGAAUUUUUUUCGCUUUGAGCGAAACUGGCUUUUUUUUUAUGCCUGUCAGCGACGCUAUUGCUUUGGGUAAUUUCAGGACCCGUCUUGAAACACGGACCAAGGAGUCUAACACGUACGCGAGUCAUUGGGCAAAUAUGAAACCCACAGGCGUAUUGAAAGAAAAGGCCGGCCCUCGCGCCGGCCGAGGGAUGAUGGGCACGCGUGAAAGAAGCGGCUCCGCAAUCCCGGGGCGUCCCGUAGCUCAUCGCGAGCGGGGGCGCACCUAGAGCGUACGUGUUGGGACCCGAAAGAUGGUGAACUAUGCCUGGCCAGGACGAAGUCAGGGGAAACCCUGAUGGAGGUCCGUAGCGAUUCUGACGUGCAAAUCGAUCGUCGGAGCUGGGUAU